UUGGUGUAUAUUGUUGCAGCAUCGAAACUUAGUGUACAAUCACAAGAUAAUGAGAUAUGAGGAGGAUAGACUGUACGCAGAGUAUAAACAGGUAAAAUAUCUACGUAUAGUAGGCUAAAAAUGAGUACAUUUGACCAACUUAUAUAUUAUGUAUAUGUGAACAUAUGAACUUUAACAACAUCACAGAGAAGAAACUCUCUCAAAGUUCGAUUGAAACUUUAGAAGCAACAUUAUUCGUGCAUAUGAAUAAUUCUGCAGCUUGAUAUCUUGCAUUUCUUGAGGAAUCAAUAACCUUUGGUAUUCUACACAGCACAGCUCUACUUUGCCUUCAAUUUCAGGGAAGCGCUAUUGAUGCAGUAACGCUUUCCAGUAGGCGGAGGGCCAUCAUCAAAUACAUGCCCAAGAUGAGCAUCGCAAGCUGCACAUAGAACUUCUUGACGAGGCAUGAA
rnacentral:misc_RNA from 1 species